CAUAACAAAAAUAUUGGAAUGAAAAAAUGUUGGAAUGAAAAGCAAAAGCUUCAAGUGCAUGUGUCUUUGAGUAAGAGUGAUAUAGACAGUGAUAAGUUAGUUACUGACUGUAUUAGUUACGCGUUUGACAUUUGAUUCAUUAAGAGAAAGAAAGAAGUGUUACAAUGAAUUAGUAAAUGUCUGAAUGACUGGGAAAAUGAAUGGUUUAAUGUGCAUCAACAGAGAGGGUAUCUCAGUAUCUUGACUGUCUGUCUGCUUGGUACCCUUUAGAUUUUAUACUUGAGGUGAUUUGAAGUUCUUUCAUCUGAGGAGUGUCACAUACCUUUUGUGUCUGGAGAGACCAGAAUGAAAACUCUUGAGAUGAUUUAAGCAUCUCCCAUGGUCACAAACUGAGUGGUUUCCACUCCUUAGAGAAGCUGGGAGACUAAUUAAUGGACCCGCUGGACCACGUUUCAGGAUCUUCCCUCAACUCUGAGCCUUAGGGUUUCCUCAGUGUUUUAGGAGCCCAGAGGCCACGAGUCAAAGCUGAAGGUGAUGUCAUCCUCCACUGUGGUCAGGGUUCUAAGGGUCUCGUUCUUGGAUGGAGACCAAGUGUUGUACCUUGUGAUUGAAUCUCUUUGCUAGAAUCACAGAGACCAAUAAUGGACCCACUGGACCUGGUUCAGGAUCUUCCCUCCAUCGUGAGCCUAAGGAUUACAUCCCUGCUUUAGGAGCUGGGAGACCCAUAAUGGACGCACUUGAACUGAUUGUAACAUUCUUCCAAGAUCACCAGCUCUCUGGUUGCUUCUACGUGGUAGGAGCAUGGAGCCCGAUAAUGGAUACUCAAGCUGAUUUCAUCUUCUGUUGUAGUCAAGAUUGUCACGUUCCCCUUGUGUUAGGAAGGAGACCAAGAAUGGACGCGUUUGAGCUGACACAACACUAUUCUGCGAUGACGAGCCCCACGACUUCACGUCCACGCGAGGAGCGUGGACGCCUGUAAUGGUUGCGUUCAGCUGAGUUACGCAUUCCACUGUGACCAGGAGAUCCAUGGUGUCAUCUAUGCGUCUGCAGUUGAGGAGCCAGCAGACCCAUGUGAGCACAAGAAAUCCUCUGAUCUUGGUCUGGGUGGGGUGCCUAGGGACAUGGAUUCCAUUUCCAAAGUGCUUGGAGUGUAAUGCAAGAAGGCCUCUUUCAUGCUAUUGACAAUAACGAGACAAAUAGGAAGCAUUCUCUGAAGUACAGCCCAAGGGAGUCAGGGACCAGAGAUUUGACAUAUAUAUUGAUGUGGGAAUGGUCCCAGAGACAUACUGGGGAUCCCAGUGCCUUCUUGGGGAUCCCAGUACCGCCUUGGGGUGGUUAACCAUUGAGUUAUCCAUUCUAGUCAGUGAAUAAAUGCAUUGAUCAGUUCAGCGUAUGGGACAAGUGAGGAGACCGUGGUCUUUCCUGGAUCGAUGAUGAUCCCUACCGGCGUAUGAGUCAUCGAUGAUGAAUAAUACGUGUCUGUGUCUGGAACGCUGAGGUCCAG